rnacentral:tRNA from 3 species
GAUAGAUAGCUCAACGGUAGAGCAGCGACUUAGAUUCGUGGGUUGCGGGUUCAAAUCCCGCUCUAAUCACCA